rnacentral:lncRNA from 1 species
GAGUAAUUCUCCUAUCAUCAGAAUAUUUUUUUUAUUAAUUCAACUACAACUGACAUUUUACUCCCAAUUAAAGAUAGUAAUUGUCUAUCUAAUUCAAAGAAACUCCUAACGAUGAAUAAUCCGAUUGGCACACCAAAAUAUACGACCUGGUAAUAGAUUCAAAUUCGAAUCCCACAUCCCCAAUAUUCGAAAAAAGCCGAUUGAAACGAAUCCAAAACGACU